UUCCAUGUGUCUCAGUAUACUGUCAUGUCUCGACUUCAGUUUCUGAUCAUAGAAAGAGCAGGACAAGAACACAGAGCUGCUUGUUACAUCUUUAUUUGUGACCUGGAGAGAAACUAAAAGAGAGAGAAUUAAAAAACAAACACAGGGAAAUAAGACUGAACAGGUGCUUCUAAGUGGCACAGGAGUGGAAUCAGUCUCACAGCAUCAGAGACAGGAGUAAUGGAAAGAGAUGUAAACACUUGGCUCCAGGAUAUUGGAGCUGAAUAUAUCACAGAUGAGCUCAGCCCCAUGUGGCUGCUCCGCGGCAACAAAAUAAACACAAUUAACCAAAUUGCGGAGGGAACCGGAUUUUAUAUUGAAGUGAUCAAGACAACAACAUGAAGAUCAAACAGCUUCAGAUCUGUAAGUUUACAUAUUAUAAUUUUUUUUUUUAACAUACAUUCACAAACUUUCGAAACUCUAAACUUUUAUAAUAUGUAU